rnacentral:rRNA from 1 species
UACGGGGGGGGCAAGCGUUGUUCGGAAUUACUGGGCGUAAAGGGCUCGUAGGCGGCCAACUAAGUCAUACGUGAAAUCCCUCGGCUUAACCGGGGAACUGCGUCUGAUACUGGAUGGCUUGAGAUUGGGAGAGGGAUGCGGAAUUCCAGGUGUAGCGGUGAAAUGCGUAGAUAUCUGGAGGAACACCGGUGGCGAAGGCGGCAUCCUGGACCGGCAUUGACGCUGAGGCGCGAAGGCCAGGGGAGCAAACGGG